AUGGGAGGAGGCCUAGUGCCAACUGAUUGUCAAACUGGCGCCAGCCGCAGAAAGAGGAUCUUUCGCUGCCAUUGCUGUGGCCAGUGUCUUGCUCGGCAUGGGACUGACCACCAACCAAACCAAACUGAACGCACUCACGCCUCACCGAGGCAGCCGACCACGCAGUUAGUUGCCGAGCGUCACGAACCAUCGCCGAGUAACCGAGAGAUCCUCCUCCAUAUCUCUGUCCCACACAAGACCGUGGCUGUGGUGUGCGGCCACCGUCGAUCCGCGCCCCACCUACAGACUAUACUAAGCACGCCGUUAAUUGCCCAAGGCAACACCCGGCUAGGGGCAGAGAGAUCUGGAGAGUUAAAAAUAAAGGAACCUCCAAGAUCAUGGUGUAUCGGCCCCGAUUCGCGUCGCCAUCGCUGGGUGCGAAUGGCCACGUCGGAGUUUCAAAUACCUGCACCGCUUUCCGCAACCGUGCCCCGCCUUUGCCCCACAGUGACACGACGGACAUCCGAAUCGGCCCCGCGCACUGGAGCGAGCUCGCGAGCUCGCUCGCCUGGGUGCACCGCUAAGGCACGCACGCACGCUCCGUCCCGCCCACGCCUGAAACCUAUAAAACCCAGCCAACUGCGCCAUCAUUUCUCACCAGCUCCAUCGCAAGGGACAAUACUACCACUCUAG
rnacentral:rRNA from 1 species